GAAGCUCUAGUUUAGCGGUUAAAACGCCCCCCUCCAUCAGCCUUCGCAAGAAGAGGGUUGGUGAAGGCGGUCAGCUUGGUUCGAAUCCAAGGUGCUUCA
rnacentral:tRNA from 1 species